rnacentral:rRNA from 1 species
GACGAACGCUGGCGGCGUGCCUAAUACAUGCAAGUAGAACGCUGAAGGAGGAGCUUGCUCUUCUGGAUGAGUUGCGAACGGGUGAGUAACGCGUAGGUAACCUGCCUGGUAGCGGGGGAUAACUAUUGGAAACGAUAGCUAAUACCGCAUAAGAGUAGAUGUUGCAUGACAUUUGCUUAAAAGGUGCAAUUGCAUCACUACCAGAUGGACCUGCGUUGUAUUAGCUAGUUGGUGGGGUAACGGCUCACCAAGGCGACGAUACAUAGCCGACCUGAGAGGGUGAUCGGCCGCACUGGGACUGAGACACGGCCCAGACUCCUACGGGAGGCAGCAGUAGGGAAUCUUCGGCAAUAGACGGAAGUCUGACCGAGCAACGCCGCGUGAGUGAAGAAGGUUUUCGGAUCGUAAAGCUCUGUUGUAAGAGAAGAACGAGUGUGAGAGUGGAAAGUUCACACUGUGACGGUAUCUUACCAGAAAGGGACGGCUAACUACGUG